rnacentral:rRNA from 1 species
AAAAAAGGUAAGCUACUAAGAGCGAAUGGUGGAUGCCUUGACUGGUAAAGGCGAUGAAGGACGUACUAGACUGCGAUAAGCUACGGGGAGCUGUCAAGAAGCUUUGAUCCGUAGAUUUCCGAAUGGGGCAACCCAAUGUAUAGAGAUAUACAUUACCUAUAUAGGAGCGAACGAGGGGAAUUGAAACAUCUUAGUACCCUCAGGAAAAGAAAUCAAUAGAGAUUGCGUCAGUAGCGGCGAGCGAAAGCGCAAGAGGGCAAACCCAGUGCUUGCACUGGGGGUUGUAGGACUGCAAUGUGCAAGAGGUGAGUUUAGCAGAACAUUCUGGAAAGUAUAGCCAUAGAGGGUGAUAGUCCCGUAUGCGAAAAACAAACCUUAGCUAGCAGUAUCCUGAGUAGGGCGGGACACGAGAAAUCCUGUCUGAAGCUGGGUCGACCACGAUCCAACCCUAAAUACUAAUACCAGAUCGAUAGUGCACAAGUACCGUGAGGGAAAGGUGAAAAGAACUGAGGUGAUCAGAGUGAAAUAGAACCUGAAACCAUUUGCUUACAAUCAUUCAGAGCCCUAUGUAGCAAUACAGGGUGAUGGACUGCCUUUUGCAUAAUGAGCCUGCGAGUUGUGGUGUCUGGCAAGGUUAAGCAAACGUGAAGCCGUAGCGAAAGCGAGUCUGAAUAGGGCGCUUAGUCAGAUGCUGCAGACCCGAAACGAAGUGAUCUAUCCAUGAGCAAGUUGAAGCUAGUGUAAGAACUAGUGGAGGACUGAACCCAUAGGCGUUGAAAAGCCCCGGGAUGACUUGUGGAUAGGGGUGAAAGGCCAAUCAAACUUCGUGAUAGCUGGUUCUCUCCGAAAUAUAUUUAGGUAUAGCGUUGUGUCGUAAUAUAAGGGGGUAGAGCACUGAAUGGGCUAGGGCAUACACCAAUGUACCAAACCCUAUCAAACUCCGAAUACCUUAUAUGUAAUCACAGCAGUCAGGCGGCGAGUGAUAAAAUCCGUCGUCAAGAGGGAAACAACCCAGACUACCAGCUAAGGUCCCUAAAUCUUACUUAAGUGGAAAACGAUGUGAAGUUACUUAAACAACCAGGAGGUUGGCUUAGAAGCAGCCAUCCUUUAAAGAAAGCGUAAUAGCUCACUGGUCUAGUGAUUUUGCGCGGAAAAUAUAACGGGGCUAAAGUAAGUACCGAAGCUGUAGACUUGAUUUUAUCAAGUGGUAGGAGAGCGUUCUAUUUGCGUCGAAGGUAUACCGGUAAGGAGUGCUGGAGCGAAUAGAAGUGAGCAUGCAGGCAUGAGUAGCGAUAAUUAAUGUGAGAAUCAUUAACGCCGUAAACCCAAGGUUUCCUACGCGAUGCUCGUCAUCGUAGGGUUAGUCGGGUCCUAAGUCGAGUCCGAAAGGGGUAGACGAUGGCAAAUUGGUUAAUAUUCCAAUACCAACAUUAGUGUGCGAUGGAAGGACGCUUAGGGCUAAGGGGGCUAGCGGAUGGAAGUGCUAGUCUAAGGUCGUAGGAGGUUAUACAGGCAAAUCCGUAUAACAAUACUCCGAGAACUGAAAGGCUUUUUGAAGUCUUCGGAUGGAUAGAAGAACCCCUGAUGCCAUCGAGCCAAGAAAAGUUUCUAAGUUUAGCUAAUGUUGCCCGUACCGUAAACCGACACAGGUGGGUGGGAUGAGUAUUCUAAGGCGCGUGGAAGAACUCUCUUUAAGGAACUCUGCAAAAUAGCACCGUAUCUUCGGUAUAAGGUGUGGUUCGCUUCGUAUUAGGAUUUACUCCGAAAGCGAAGAAACUUACAACAAAGAGUCCCUCCCGACUGUUUACCAAAAACACAGCACUCUGCUAACUCGUAAGAGGAUGUAUAGGGUGUGACGCCUGCCCGGUGCUCGAAGGUUAAUUGAUGGGGUUAGCAUUAGCGAAGCUCUUGAUCGAAGCCCGAGUAAACGGCGGCCGUAACUAUAACGGUCCUAAGGUAGCGAAAUUCCUUGUCGGUUAAAUACCGACCUGCAUGAAUGGCGUAACGAGAUGGGAGCUGUCUCAAAGAGGGAUCCAGUGAAAUUGUAGUGGAGGUGAAAAUUCCUCCUACCCGCGGCAAGACGGAAAGACCCCGUGGACCUUUACUACAGCUUGACACUGCUAUUUGGAUAAGAAUGUGCAGGAUAGGUGGGAGGCUUUGAGUAUAUGACGCCAGUUGUAUAUGAGCCAUUGUUGAGAUACCACUCUUUCUUAUUUGGGUAGCUAACCAGCUUGAGUUAUCCUCAAGUGGGACAAUGUCUGGUGGGUAGUUUGACUGGGGCGGUCGCCUCCCAAAUAAUAACGGAGGCUUACAAAGGUUGGCUCAGAACGGUUGGAAAUCGUUCGUAGAGUAUAAAGGUAUAAGCCAGCUUAACUGCAAGACAUACAAGUCAAGCAGAGACGAAAGUCGGUCUUAGUGAUCCGGUGGUUCUGUGUGGAAGGGCCAUCGCUCAAAGGAUAAAAGGUACCCCGGGGAUAACAGGCUGAUCUCCCCCAAGAGCUCACAUCGACGGGGAGGUUUGGCACCUCGAUGUCGGCUCAUCGCAUCCUGGGGCUGGAGCAGGUCCCAAGGGUAUGGCUGUUCGCCAUUUAAAGCGGUACGCGAGCUGGGUUCAGAACGUCGUGAGACAGUUCGGUCCCUAUCUGCCGUGGGCGUAAGAAGAUUGAAGAGAUUUGACCCUAGUACGAGAGGACCGGGUUGAACAAACCACUGGUGUAGCUGUUGUUCUGCCAAGAGCAUCGCAGCGUAGCUAAGUUUGGAAAGGAUAAACGCUGAAAGCAUCUAAGCGUGAAGCCAACUCUAAGAUGAAUCUUCUCUAAGCUCUCUAGAAGACUACUAGUUUGAUAGGCUGGGUGUGUAAUGGAUGAAAGUCCUUUAGCUGACCAGUACUAAUAGAGCGUUUGGCUUAUCUUUAAUAAAGCAU